UUUAGUUUUCACCUUCGGAACUCACUCGGUUUGAAGCCAAAGCUUUCGUCAUCGAUUCAAAUUCUCGGUGUCGAUUUCUUUCUCUGCAAAUAAAGAUAUUGUUAAGGGCGAAGGAUCCAAGAUUUAAGCAAAUGAGUGAGAUCGGUAAGAAGGCUAGACCAUCUACUAAGGGUGGUUCUCUACACACAAGUGGGGCUCAAAGUCAAGGAAGUAUGAGGAGGAAAUUGGAAAAGGAACUAGGAAGAUUGGUAACUUAGACUGAGGCAUUCAGGGCAACACACAUAAGAAAGAAGAAAAAUCUCGAAGAUCCAGACGUGUGGGUUGAGCCGCGAGCUGAAUUGACCUAUUUUUGGAGGAUUUACGACAAACUUAACCAGAAGAAAUCGAGGUAUGCCACUUACCCAAAAACAGGCUGAGAGAGUGUGGCUAGACUUGAUUGGUGGGCCGAGUAGAUAUGAGUAAGCCUAUGGCAUGCCACAACAAACCUUUUGUGAAUAUCAUUCUGAGUUUGAAGGCCUAAGUAGUUCCUAUGAUGAUGAAUCGAUGAAGAAAAAUUUAGCUAUAUAGCAAAAGAUAGCUGAGCUAUCUAGCCAAGUCCAAGACCCGUGGGCUAGGGAAAGGCGCAGGGACAUAGAGUAUGAGGGUCUUAAGGCUCAAUUAGAUGCAUUACUUGCUUCAGGAGGGAUUCCCCCUUGUUCCAAUGACGUCAUUUUCCCUCCUCAACCCUCUCGGUCUCAACCUACUCGAUAUCCAGUCUAUGGUCAACAAAGAAAUAUGACAGAUGAGUCUAGUAGUGAUGAAGAAGAUGAGGAUCAUGUGGCAAACACACUACCACAUUAGCGAAGUUUAGAGUUGUAAUAGAUAAUCUAAGUUCUUUA